UCCAAAGGUGAAUCUUUUGGUUGGUGAUUUUGAUGAUAGCCACAAAGCAAGCAGGCUGUAUGGUAGCCUUGAAAACCAACAGGCCACAAUCACAGUGAAAACCUCAGGUUGGCAGCCACUGGAGGAUACAAAAUGAGUUUGGAUCUCCUUCAAUGCCCCAUUCCCAGAGAACUGUCAUUAUUUGACCUGCUGGUAGUUCCCUAAAGGACGUGCAAGGAUGUUUUUAUUUGACUGGACACUUGAAGCUUGCCCUGUAUGAACAGCCCCCAUCUUCCCAUGCUUGUCAAAAAUCAGAGGCAACUAACACUGCGGCUUCCUGAGAGUCUCACUCUGUCACCCAGGCUGGAGAGCAAUUGCACAAACACUUGGCUCACUGCAGCCUCAACUUCUUGUCCUCAAGUGAUCCUCCCACCUUAGCCUCCUAAGUAGCUGGGACCACAGGGAACUCCGGAUGUGACUCCUGUUACAUGAAAAUGGAAGAGGUCAGAGUUGUCCAAGAGGGAGGCCAGCCACAUCCAGGCAGGGCCCCCAUGGUCAGAACCCUGCUAGAGCCAUCAAGGUCCCAGAGCUCCCAAGAUGGUGGCAAGCCUUUUGUUCUCUGACCAGAGGUUCCUGGCCUCACGGAUUCCAAGGAAUGGAACCUUGGGCCAUGCGUGCACUUGAUUUUGCAGAUGAGUCUGGAAGUGUUAGUUGCAAAGAUAUGCAUUUACUUCUCUGGCUACAAAAAAGAAUAGAAAUGCACAAAGCAGAGCAGUGUGAAGAAGAAGAGGCGAUGACCCCUAGACCGACCAAAGCCCGUGCUCCACUGCCCAGUGCCUAUGUCCCACCACUGUCGCUGCCACCCUGCCCGAGAGAAAGGCUGAAGGGGAUGCUAAAGGAGAUAAAACCAAGGUUAAGUAGGAACUGCAGAGAAGAUCCACAAGGUUGUCUGCUAAACCUGCUCCUCCAAAGCCACAGCCGAAGCCCAGAAAGGCCUCUGCAAAGAAGAGAGAGAAGGUACCUACAGAGAAGAAGGGAAAAGCUGAUGCUGGCAAGGAGGGGAAUAACCCUGCAGAAAAUGGAGAUGCCAAAACAGACUAGGCACAGAAAGCUAAAGGUGCUGGAGAUGCCAAGUGAAGUGUGUGCAUUUUUGAUAACUGUGUACUUCUGGUGACUGUACAGUUUGAAAUACUAUUUUUUAAUCAAGUUUUAUAAAAAUGCAGAUUUUGUUUAGCUUUUUUUUUUUUUUUUAAGCUAUGUUAGUACACAGAAUACUUCAUUGUUGUUUUGGGGAGAAGGGCCAUA
ensembl:lncRNA novel transcript